rnacentral:snoRNA from 13 species
UUGCCCUUUUAAGGUUGACACAGUGCCUUCAAAGGGUAAUACAGAAGGGAAAAGAAAGACUCCUUAAAGCCCAGAUAAGAGAUUAAACUCUUCUUUGGGUCCUGUCUGGAGUCACAGGU